rnacentral:rRNA from 1 species
AUAAAUCAAAACUUUCAACAACGGAUCUCUUGGUUCUGGCAUCGAUGAAGAACGCAGCAAAAUGCGAUAAGUAAUGUGAAUUGCAGAAUUCAGUGAAUCAUCGAAUCUUUGAACGCACAUUGCGCCCGCCAGUAUUCUGGCGGGCAUGCCUGUUCGAGCG